CCCAGCUACUCGGGAGGCUGAGA
rnacentral:piRNA from 1 species